rnacentral:lncRNA from 1 species
CUCUCCCGGCUGCCUUGUGCUCAGACCUGCCAUGGCAGGAAAACUUGGGGUUUGCAGAUUCUUAAAUGUUUUGUGUUAUAAGCCGGGAGCGGUGCCUCACACCUGUAAUCCCAGCACUUUGGGAGGCUGAGGCGGGCGGAUCACCUGAGGUCGGGGAUUCGAGACCAGCCUGACCAACAUGGAGAAACCCCGUCUCUACUAAAAAUACAAAAUUAGCCAGGCAUGGUGGCGCAUGCCUGUCAUCCCAGCUACUAGGGAGGCUGAGGCAGGAGAAUCGAUUGAACCUGGGAGGCGGAGGUUGCGGUGAGCCAAGAUUGCGCCAUUGCACUCCAGCCUGGGCAACAAGAGUGAAACUCCGUCUCAAAAAAAAAAAAAGUUUUGUGUUAUAUGGAUUCCAGUUCUCAGCUGAAAAAUCUCCACCUUUUCAUCUACUUUCUCCCUUGCUUCCUCCAUCUAAACAAAAACGCACAGAGUUCGAACUCUAAACAAAAACUCACAGAGAGUUCAGGGGUUCUCUGCUGCGACUUCCACUCUCUGGCUUUGUGUGCAUCCGUUUCCACGGGCUAUUUUUCCUCUUGAUUUUUGGCCCUGUGGUCUCUGAAUGCUGGAUGUCAUGCGCUGAAGCCUGGAGACUCCAGAUCCGGGGUCAGCAAACUGCAGCGGGGGGCAGCCGCCUGCUUUUGUGAACGCAGCGUAUUGAAACACACCCAUGCCCAUUUGUUCACAGAUGCUCUGUGGCUGCGUGUGCCCUACAGCAGCACGGUUCAGUAGGCAGAGGCCACUUCUACUACCCGGCUAAGGAAAAGAUGGGCAGAGCCUGCUCUGGAUGACGCUGUGUUCCAGCCGGCGGAGAGGGUCCCCCAUUUCCUCGGAACUAAUCCUCCAGGAAAUUAACAGACAGUUUGCUGUGGACAACUAGAGCCCUCCCCUUCCUUAGCCCUGAGCGAGGUAAACAAUUCUGCUCUGCCUUCCGGAAGUUUCAAAUUAGCUCUUCAACCAGCGUUUUCACGCAGCUUCCAGUCCUGCCACAGUCUUGAAGAAGAGAUCAGCUUUCGCGUCUUCAUUCUUGCCAAGAUUAGCUGCCCUUCGAAUCUCCCGUGUGUCAUUAAUCCCAGCACGAACAAGCACUUGGGAACUGCGGGCUGCAGAUGGUCUGCUUAUCCUACGGAACCCUCCUCUUUUGAGGCUUAACCCCUUUAGUCUUUGUUGCUUCUGUAGCUUUCUGAUGCCAUUAAAGAGAUGAUUUUUAU